rnacentral:rRNA from 1 species
AGUUUAGCUAAUGUUGCCCGUACCGUAAACCGACACAGGUGGGUGGGAUGAGUAUUCUAAGGCGCGUGGAAGAACUCUCUUUAAGGAACUCUGCAAAAUAGCACCGUAUCUUCGGUAUAAGGUGUGGUUCGCUUCGUAUUAGGAUUUACUCCGAAAGCGAAGAAACUUACAACAAAGAGUCCCUCCCGACUGUUUACCAAAAACACAGCACUCUGCUAACUCGUAAGAGGAUGUAUAGGGUGUGACGCCUGCCCGGUGCUCGAAGGUUAAUUGAUGGGGUUAGCAUUAGCGAAGCUCUUGAUCGAAGCCCGAGUAAACGGCGGCCGUAACUAUAACGGUCCUAAGGUAGCGAAAUUCCUUGUCGGUUAAAUACCGACCUGCAUGAAUGGCGUAACGAGAUGGGAGCUGUCUCAAAGAGGGAUCCAGUGAAAUUGUAGUGGAGGUGAAAAUUCCUCCUACCCGCGGCAAGACGGAAAGACCCCGUGGACCUU